rnacentral:rRNA from 1 species
GCCAGAGCCAUAUCUCCCUGCAGUUCUUGCCUAGGUUCCCACUGAAUCUAAGCAGGGUUGAGCCUGGUGUUUACCUGGAUGGGAGACCUCCUGGGGAAUGCAAAUGUUGCCACUGGAA